UGACCCCACUCUAAAUACCUUGCCUUUUUAAGUAGAUCAGCAGGUGAGACGGCAGUUGCUGCUAGCAAGCUCCCUCUGUCAAGUCCCCCUGCACUGUAGAGAUGUAGGAGGACACCCUGACAUUAGUACCUCCUUGCACAGCAAAGCAGGAGGCUCCCAGGAGCAGUCCCAAGGCAGAGGGCAGGAGUAGCCCUUGGCAGUGGCGGGAGGGACACCUAAACUGCUUGGCAAUUGAUAGUCUGCUGGCUGUCUGCUGCACAGGGGAGUGGGGAGCUGAUGCGGGACUGCCAGUCCAUCCUGGUUCCAAGCCCCCACCAGCUAGUUCCAAUGGGCUGCUCUUCCUGCAAGCAGUGGACAAAGCAGGUGGCUGCCAAACAACGUUAUAAGGGAGCAUUGUGCAACUUUAAACAAGCAUGUUCUCUCAUUGAUCAACAUAACAAUGUUAACUGGGAUGACUUUAAGUGAGGAGUUACUGUAUGUGUUUGUGUAUAUAUUGGAUUCGGCCCACGUAACACAACUGCAUAUGUGGCACACAAUGGUAAAUAGAUUGAGAACCACUGCUCUAGUCAACUAAAUUUUUCUAUAGAACUGACAGCUAUCUAGCUCUUGAAACAGAAAAUACUCUGGGGGAGGGGUUUAAUGUAGCUGUCAGUCUCACUUAAAAUGAAAGGUAGAAACCAUUGCUCAGUAGCAAUACUUGAUCAACAAUUGAUUUACCUUAAUCUCUGCAGUGUGAAGGAACAGUGAAUUAUGUAAUAUUUCCCCAAGUUUAUGGGGUUUCAGUCCUCAUCUUUGCUAUAAAGUAGCUUGCUUUUUCCCUUAUGUACUCAUCCUCAGUACACUGCAAUAAGUAUUUUUAUCAUGCACAGCAGUCCUGCAUGGUUCUGUACAUGCUAAACAAUAAGUUCCCUCAAAAGAGCCCCAGCACCACCUGUCAGUGUGCUCCAUAAGCUGUUUGCUUUACAUGCCAGAGCACAUCUGCUCUUCCUCUCACUUCAGAAGCCUACAAGCCCUGCUCCUUUCCCAAGUCAAGGAAGAGGUAGGACCUGCUUCUAGGGAAGUAGACCAUAGUGAGAAAAAUCAAUGAAAAAGGGUUCUUGGCAUGGUGGAGAGAGGUAGCUUCACCUGGCCUUUCCUUGCCCUCAAGUGGCUCUAAAGUACAGACAACUAACCAGUAUUACCACUCUGAAAUGUUUAAUAGCGCAUACAUUAAAGCACUUAUCUGAAGAUCUCAAAUAUAGUCCCAUUGAUCUCAGUGGGAGUCAUAGUAAAGAUAAUCAGGUGUUUGCACAAUGAGAAGCAGUUUUCCUCCUCACACUUGAAAAAUUUGCUUUAUGGGAUCUCCUACUGACAUAAUUUUUUAUCUGAAAAUGUGAGCUCUGUUUCUGAAAUAAGUUAGCUUUAAAAAUAUUUAGUCAUAAUUUACCAUUUGACUUUUUUCUCCAAAAAAGUAAAUGAAAAAAACUGUCUGUACAGCUUACCUGUGUUAGAAAAAAUGUACAAAAUACCCACCUUUGUAGAGUCCCUGAAUGUACUUGCCAUACACCUCAUGUAUUUUCUUUAUCUAAAGUAGCAUAUGUUAUAAGGAGGGUAGAAACUGGCUUGUAUUUUCUCAGAUGUAUGCAGCCUACCACAAGCAAGUUUUCAACAAGUUAAACAUUUCAAUCAUAAAUGAAUGUUUAGUUUGCUUUUACAAUUUGUGGUAUUUUGGGGACAAAUGUUUCACAUCAAAUACAUCAUGAAAUAAUUCAAAUAUCUUUAAUUUUAAAAGACAGUGAUCAUCAGGAGAAGGCGGGGAAGAGAAGUAAGAUAGAGCAGGCCAGCCUAACAGUGGUUACACAAAAACAUUGGGGCAGGAGAGGGAGCAAAUAUUAAUGCCUUUAAAGGUGAGAAGUGAUGGAUUGUAAUACCACAUUCAUGCUCCUAUCAUAGCAAUGGCUUGUUCAUCUACUGUUCUCAAACAUCAAGCAGCAGAUCCUUAAAAGACAAGUGGUGUGAGCAUAGAAAGCCAGUAGCACUGGAAUCAAGGAGAUGGUAUCCAAUAUAGCCAUGUUUUACAGCCUUAAGGCCUUUCAAAUGCUCCUUCUCCCCUUUGAUAAAACACUUUGGGAUCUAGAUGAAGAUUUUGAUAUGAGCAAAUUUUUAAAAAACACAAACCCCUCAACCCUACCACCUUAAAGUUUAUUACCUGUUCAUAAGCAAUCAAUGCAUAGGUGUGUCUGUGGGGUGGCUAUAGUUGCUCAAAUGAGCCACUAUGUUCUAAACAAGUUUAAGGCUAGAUGUGCACAUCUGGAAGCUCUGAGUUGAAACUUAAUACAGUAACUCCUCACUUAGUCAUCCCAGUUAAUGUGUUAUUAGGUUGCUGAUCUAUUAGAAAACGUACUCAUUUAAAGUUGUGCAAUGUUCUGUUAAGGUUGUAUGGCUCGCCCCGGUCUGCCUAUCUGCCUGGCUUGGGGGCUUGUCACGCUCUGCCCAGCACUGCUGUUGGGCAGUGGGGUUGGUGCAUGGGGGCUUGCCCCACUCUGUCCGCCUGGCAUUCCAGCUGGGAGUGGGCAAGCCCUCAGCCCCACUAUCCAGCAGGAGCACUGGGCAGGCAGAGCCGGGCAAGCGCCUGUCCUCUGACCCUACUAUGCCCCUGCCUCAAGCAAGCGUCACAAUCAUCACUGGUGAGUACAGUAUUGUUUGUUUAAAAUUUAAAACUUUAUGUAUGUCUUUGUCUGGUGAAAAAAAUUUCCCUGGAACCUAAGCCGCCCUUAUUUACAUUAAUUCUUAUGGGGAAAUUGGAUUCACUUAUUUCACUUGAAGUAGCAUUUUUCAGGAACAUAACUACAACGUUAAGCCAAGUUACCAUAUGUACUUUCAAAGGACUGUAUCAGAACAGGUGCAGUUGUUUUGAAAACUUUCAUGGGAGAGGUUCCCAAAGCACUUCCUACUUUAUGAGCUGUACCCAGCAUGUACAGCAGUGAGAGGGGACCUUUCCCAGAAAAUGCUCUUCAGUUUAUAGGGCAGGCAUUGAGAGAGCCUGGCAACAGAGCCUCUGUGUCCCAAUGUGAUUUAAAAAGAUUCACGGUCCUGGCUUUGUUCAUUGGGACUAUUUGUAUGUGUAAUUGUUUGGAGCAUUCAGUCUUAUGAUGAUUAACUCUUCAGGACAGGGGCUUUGUCUUUAUACGUGUUUGUAAAGCACCUGGCAUGCUGUGCACAUUUUGUAAAUCAUAAUCUCAUGCUUCAUGUUUUCAAGACCUUGCGCGCUGUCUCUUCAAAUAUCCUAGUUUAUUGUAAAGGCAUGCACCAAGGAGUGGGUAGCAGAGGGAGGCUAGCUUCCUGAAAGGUUCCUGAGCCAGUGCAGGGGAGAAUAGAUUUGGGUGGGUGGUUAAUAUUGAUGUAUCUUACUAUUCCUUUAGAGUCUGAUACUACCCAUUUAUUGUAAUGUUAAUAGGAGCAAGCCUUUUAGAAAGAAGCAAUGUGCACUCCCCCAAGUUCUGCUGAAUCAGUAUGCUGACUAACGUCUUCACACAUCACAUCCUGUUGGGGCUACGAUGCACUAAGAGAUGACCGUGGGAGCACAGCCUUCCUCUUUGUUAUCGGCGGCAGAAUGGUUGCAAAAAAUUAGGAAGCAUCCAAGAAAAACUAUGGAGAACUUGAUGCAUGAGGUUGUGAUACAUUCCACCACCAAGAAAAAGGAAUUGAAGGGGUGGUGGGACAGAGAAGAGGGACUGAAAAGAGAACGUGGCAGACCAGAAAGAAGCCAUGGAGCAGCUCUUAACAGUUAUGGAGUACCAAGUGGACAUGCUCCAGGCAUUCCUAGCUCUUUAAACCAAGCACCUCUGCACUCGCCUUCCCCUGCAGCUGCUGUUGCAAAACUUUCCCAUGUGUGCGCCUGUGCUGCGUGCCCCCUACCCCCCCCAACACACUCUUAUCAACCCCCUGGCUCCAGUCUGUACCUGCAGCAUUCCACUCCUACCCUGUCAGUCCAGCCCUGUGGACUCCCAGUACUUACUGUGCUCAACGCCUGUCUCUCUGCAGUUUAGUCCUGCUGGAGUACAGCACCCAUGGCUUUGUACUCCA